UUCGAGUCUUCGACGACGACGACGACAUCACAGCGCACAGCGCAGUUGUGGUUGCAGUUUGCUUCUUCGCUCGACAUGGGCACGGGAGGCGUAGCGCUGGUCGUCGCCGCCCUCGCCGUGGUGUUGGUGACGAGGCUGUGGACGGCGCUGGCCCACCUGGUGUGGCGGCCGUACGCCGUCGCGAGGGCGUUCGCGCGGCAGGGCAUCCGCGGGCCGCCGUACAGGGUCUUGGUGGGCAACGGCAAGGAGGUCCAGGCGAUGCGGGCGGCGACGAGCGGCGACACGCUGGACCUCGCCUCCCACGACUACAUCGCGCGCGUGAUGCCGCAGUACCGCGCGUGGGUGUCGCUCUACGGCAAGGUGUUCCUGACGUGGUCCGGCUCGACUCCGGCGCUGUUCGUGGGCAGCCACGACAUGGUGAAGCGGGUCCUGUUCGACAAGGCGGGGCUGUACGGCAAGACGGACCCGGGGCCCACCAUACUGUCCCUCAUGGGCAGGGGCCUCGUGUUCACCGACGGCGACGACUGGUCGCGCCACCGCCGCGUCGUGCACCCGGCGUUCGCCAUGGACAAGCUCAAGUCGAUGACGGGGGCCAUGGCGGCGUGCGCGGCGGAGGUGAUCCGGGGGUGGGAGGCGCGCGCCGCGGCGAGCGGGGAGGAGGGGGAGCCGGAGGUGACGGUGGAGGUGGGGCAGCAGUUCACGGAGCUCACCGCCGACGUGAUCUCGCACACCGCGUUCGGCAGCAGCUACCGUCAGGGGAAGGAGGUGUUCCUGGCGCAGCGGGAGCUCCAGUUCAUCGCCUUCGCCUCCAUCAACAGCGGCAUGCGCGUGCCGGGCACGCAGUACGCGCCCACCAAGGCCAACGUGCGCCGGUGGCAGCUCGAGCGCACGGUGCGGGGCACGCUCAUGGCCAUCAUCGACGAGCGCCUCGCCGCCGCGAAGGAGGCGAAGGGGUACGGCAGCGACCUGCUCGGCCUCAUGCUGGAGGCCAACGCCGGCGACGGCGGCGGCAAGAGGCAGCAGCAGGCCAUGAGCAUGGACGAGAUCAUCGACGAGUGCAAGACCUUCUUCUUCGCCGGCCACGACACGACCUCGCACCUCCUCACCUGGGCCAUGUUCCUCCUCGGCACGCACCCCGAGUGGCAGCAGCGGCUCAGGGAGGAGGUGGUCCGAGAGUGCGGCGGCGCCGAGGUGCCCCUCAGCGGCGACGCCCUCAACAAGCUCAAGCUCGUGACCAUGGUGCUGUACGAGACGCUCCGGCUAUACGGCGCGGUGCCGCUGAUCGCGAGGCGGGCGACGGCGGGCGCGGACCUCUGCGGCGUGAAGGUGCCCAAGGGCACCCUCCUGCUGAUCCCGAUCGCGAUGCUCCACCGCGACGAGGAGGUGUGGGGCGCGGACGCCGGCGCGUUCAACCCGUUCCGGUUCCGGGACGGCAUGGGCAGGGCCGCGACGCACCCGAACGCGCUGCUGUCCUUCUCCCUGGGCCCGCGGUCGUGCAUCGGGCAGGACUUCGCGAUGCUGGAGGCCAAGGCCACGCUGGCGCUCAUCCUGCGGCGCUUCACGUUCCGGGUGGCGCCAGAGUACGUGCACGCGCCGGCCGACUUCCUCACGCUGCAGCCGUCGAAAGGGCUCCCCGUCGUGCUCAAGCUCUUGGAACCAGCCGUCCUUGUCACGAGUUCCGGUUGAGCUAUAAUGUUCAUGUCUGACAUGCCAAGUCAUUGAUUAGGCUUCUGUCAUCUGCGACUGCGAUGUGUUUCCUCAGUUUCGUUAUCAUCAUAUUUCAGAAUGGGAGCUAUAUAAUAUUGUAAUUUUCGUGAAUGGAUGGGCCAGGUCCAGUCCACUCAUGUUUUCAAAAGAGUCAUUCGGCUUCUUUGCUGGUCCAAAGUCUCGUGAGUUGUUCAGCCCGUGUCUCUAGAGUUUGGACUAGUCUAAUCUGACCUUUUCUGCAUCAUACUCAUACAGCCCCUUACUUCUAUAGACAGGUCUGUAGUGAUGCCCGGAUAUUCCAAGAAUACCCGACUUUUUUUUUUACAAAUUUUAGUUUACAUAUACAUUUGAUGUAUAUAAUUUGUAUUUACACUAUUAUCUGUUUCUGGCUAUAAAUGUAUAUAGUUAAAUACUAUCUGUUUCUCACCGGAAAUCAGCC
rnacentral:misc_RNA from 1 species